GCGGAGGAAUAGAAACCAACAGGGAUUGCCCUAGUAACGGCGAGUGAAGCGGCAACAGCUCAAAUUUGAAAUCUGGCCCCUUUGGGGUCCGAGUUGUAAUUUGCAGAGGGUGCUUUGGCGUUGGCUGUGGUCUAAGUUCCUUGGAACAGGACGUCACAGAGGGUGAGAAUCCCGUACGUGGCCGCCAGCCUCCGCCGUGUAAAGCCCCUUCGACGAGUCGAGUUGUUUGGGAAUGCAGCUCUAAAUGGGAGGUAAAUUUCUUCUAAAGCUAAAUAUCUGCCAGAGACCGAUAGCGCACAAGUAGAGUGAUCGAAAGAUGAAAAGCACUUUGGAAAGAGAGUCAAAAAGCACGUGAAAUUGUUGAAAGGGAAGCGCUUGCAGCUAGACGUGCCUUGGGUUGAUCAGCCGGGCUUCUGCCCGGUGCACUCUUCCUCUGGCAGGCCAGCAUCAGUUUGGGCGGCUGGAUAAAGGUCUGUUAAACGUGACUCCCCUCGGGGAGAGCUUAUAGGGCAGACGACAUGCAGCCAGCCUGGACUGAGGUCCGCGCAUCUGCUAGGAUGCUGGCGUAAUAGCUGUAAGCGGCCCGUCU
rnacentral:rRNA from 1 species